GAACCAGUACCGUGAGGGAAAGGCGAAAAGAACCCCGGAGAGGGGAGUGAAAUAGAACCUGAAACCGGAUGCGUACAAGCAGUCGGAGCCCGUUCGUCGGGUGACGGCGUACCUUUUGUAUAAUGGGUCAGCGACUUACUUGUCAGUAGCAAGCCUAACCGUUUAGGGGAGGCGUAGGGAAACCGAGUCUUAAUAGGGCGACCAGUUGCUGGCAGUAGACCCGAAACCUGUCGAUCUAUCCAUGGCCAGGGUGAAGGAUGGGUAACACCAUCUGGAGGCCCGAACCCACGUCUGUUGAAAAAGACGGGGAUGAGCUGUGGAUAGGAGUGAAAGGCUAAUCAAGGCAGGAGAUAGCUGGUUCUCCCCGAAAGCUAUUUAGGUAGCGCCUCGGACGAAUACCAUUGGGGGUAGAGCACUGUUUGGGCUAGGGGGUCAUCCCGACUUACCAACCCCAUGCAAACUCCGAAUACCAAUGAGUACUAUCCGGGAGACACACGGCGGGUGCUAACGUCCGUCGUGGAGAGGGAAACAACCCAGACCGCCAGCUAAGGUCCCCAAAUAUUGCUAAGUGGGAAACGAUGUGGGAAGGCUCAGACAGCUAGGAGGUUGGCUUAGAAGCAGCCAUCCUUUAAAGAAAGCGUAAUAGCUCACUAGUCGAGU
rnacentral:rRNA from 1 species